rnacentral:lncRNA from 1 species
UGCUAGAGUGCUUCAUGUAACAGAGAGUAGCCAGAUGCAUUAUAGGCCAUGAAUCUGUGAGCAGAUGACCACACUCUGUGGGCAAAGACCUAAGAUCUGCAAGUGCGACCCCCAGGGGCUCUGUACAUGAGUACAGCAUUCUGUGCAUCUCGGUACCAGCUGUGAGAUAUGAGGAAGAAGAGGAAACACCUGCCGUGCUAGAGCUGCCAUGGGCUCAAUGCCUUUCGAAGCCUCUCAGGACUCCCUGGACCCUGGUGUAAACCUUCCUGGAGGAAUUGCUUCACGGAAGUAUGAAUAUCUUAAAUUGGGUGACCCAGAUUACAGGGCUCUGAGAUUAGGGAAGUGAUGCACUUUGCCAGGAAGAAGAACAAAACCUACCAGUACCUCGUUUGAGUAAUUGGUAUCACCUUCAUUCCGAAACACUUUUACUAGGCUACACCUUUAAUUGGGAGUUUUUAUUACAUUCAGGUAAAUUAGAAUGAUCAGGCAUGCCUGAAACCUUUUCUCUUCUCUGUAUCACCUCCUUAGUUUCUGCUAUUGAAAGUAUUUUAAUACCUAUCUCUGUAAGAUGUACCCUCUGAGGAUUCUGAUGAGAGAAAAUAUGACAGACUCUUAGGACUGUGAAUUGGUGGGACUGUGAACUGAGGAUGUCGUUCCUAGCUGCUAGAUUUGAUCAGCACAUGGAGAGUAUGGAAAUUAGAAUUUUGAUGGAAGAUGGCUUAGGGGCGGGGGGAUGGAACAAGCUACCAUUCUAAUAAUGUUUUAUUACCUAUUGCUGUAAUUGAAAGCUUGAUUUGGGAAUUUGUAAUUGAAUUUGGGAGCACUGAAAAUUUAGAAAGAGGGCAGAAUGGAGAAAAGCUCGGGGAAGCCAGAGGGACAUCAGCAUAGUACAAACCUAGGUAGGGGAUGAAGAGGGACAGAACCAGAAAGUAAGAAGAUUGUGGAGGUAGAAAGAUACCAAAAAGAAAC